rnacentral:rRNA from 1 species
UACGUAGGGUGCGAGCGUUAAUCGGAAUUACUGGGCGUAAAGGGUGGGCAGGCGGCCGGGCAAGUCGAGGGUGAAAGCCCCGAGCUUAACUUGGGAACUGCGCUCGAAACUACGUGGCUGGAGUGUGGCAGAGGAAGGUGGAAUUCCAGGUGUAGCGGUGAAAUGCGUAGAUAUCUGGAGGAACACCGGUGGCGAAGGCGGCAUCCUGGACCGGUAUUGACGCUGAGGCGCGAAAGCCAGGGGAGCAAACGGG